rnacentral:tRNA from 1 species
UGGGGUGUGGCUCAGUGGUAGAGCACUUGCAUAGCAUAUGUGAGGCACUGGGUUCGAUUCUUAGCACCACAU